rnacentral:misc_RNA from 1 species
GAUGAAGAACGUAGCAAAAUGCGAUAAGUAAUGUGAAUUGCAGAAUUCAGUGAAUCAUCGAAUCUUUGAACGCACAUUGCGCCCGCUGGUAUUCCGGCGGGCAUGCCUGUUCGAGCGUCAUUUCAACCCUCAAGCCCCCGGGUUUGGUGUUGGGGAUCGGCUCUGCCCUUCUGGGCGGUGCCGCCCCCGAAAUACAUUGGCGGUCUCGCUGCAGCCUCCAUUGCGUAGUAGCUAACACCUCGCAACUGGAACGCGGCGCGGCCAUGCCGUAAAACCCCAACUUCUGAAUGUUGAACUCGGAUCAGGUAGGAAUACCCGCUGAACUUAAGCAUAUCAAUAAGCGGAGGA